rnacentral:rRNA from 1 species
UCUUCCGCAAUGGACGAAAGUCUGACGGAGCCACGCCGCGUGAGUGAUGAAGGUUUUCGGAUCGUAAAACUCCGUUGUUAGGGAAGAACAAGUACCGUUCGAGUAGGGCGGCCCCCUGCCGGUACCUAACCAGAAAGCCACGGCUAACUCCGUGCCCUCAGCCGCGGUAAUACGUAGGUGGCAAGCGUUGUCCGGAAUUAUUGGGCGUAAAGCGCGCGCAGGCGGUUUCUUAAGUCUGAUGUGAAAGCCCCCGGCUCAACCGGGGAGGGUCAUUGGAAACUGGGGAACUUGAGUGCAGAAGAGGAGAGUGGAAUUCCACGUGUAGCGGUGAAAUGCGUAGAGAUGUGGAGGAACACCAGUGGCGAAGGCGACUCUCUGGUCUGUAACUGACGCUGAGGCGCGAAAGCGUGGGGAGCGAACAG